AUUGAACGCUGGCGGCAGGCCUAACACAUGCAAGUCGAGCGGAUGAAGGGAGCUUGCUCCUGGAUUCAGCGGCGGACGGGUGAGUAAUGCCUAGGAAUCUGCCUGGUAGUGGGGGAUAACGUCCGGAAACGGGCGCUAAUACCGCAUACGUCCUGAGGGUGAAAGGGGGGGAUCUUCGGACCUCACGCUAUCAGAUGAGCCUAGGUCGGAUUAGCUAGUUGGUGGGGUAAAGGCCUACCAAGGCGACGAUCCGUAACUGGCCUGAGAGGAUGAUCAGUCACACUGGAACUGAGACACGGUCCAGACUCCUACGGGAGGCAGCAGUGGGGAAUAUUGGACAAUGGGCGAAAGCCUGAUCCAGCCAUGCCGCGUGUGUGAAGAAGGUCUUCGGAUUGUAAAGCACUUUAAGUUGGGAGGAAGGGCAGUAAGUUAAUACCUUGCUGUUUUGACGUUACCAACAGAAUAAGCACCGGCUAACUUCGUG
rnacentral:rRNA from 1 species